CAAAGUAUACUAAAAGCCUAGGAGAGUUGUCUCGGGCAUUUCAUCAAACACCUUUUGGGUGGGAAAUGCCUAUUGAUUAACUUUUGAGUGGCCAACUCAGAAGAUGCAUUAUGAAUACUCUACUAGCAAGGAACAAGAAUGAUCUACACUAAAACAUCCUAGAACUAACCUAAUCACCCUUAAUAUCCCUAACCCAUGAAUUCAAAAAGUAAUUACUCACUAAUCUCCAUGAUUCCUC
rnacentral:lncRNA from 1 species